CAACCCUUGUCUCAUGUUGCCAGCACGUAAUGGUGGGGACUCGUGAGAGACUGCCGGGGUCAACUCGGAGGAAGGUGGGGAUGACGUCAAGUCAUCAUGCCCCUUAUGUCCAGGGCUUCACACAUGCUACAAUGGCGCGUACAGAGGGCUGCAAUACCGUGAGGUGGAGCGAAUCCCUUAAAGCGCGUCUCAGUUCGGAUUGGGGUCUGCAACUCGACCCCAUGAAGUCGGAGUCGCUAGUAAUCGCAGAUCAGCAACGCUGCGGUGAAUACGUUCCCGGGCCUUGUACACACCGCCCGUCACGUCAUGAAAGUCGGUAACACCCGAAGCCGGUGGCCUAACCCCUUGUGGGAGGGAGCUGUCGAAGGUGGGAUUGGCGAUUGGGACGAAGUCGUAACAAGGUAGCCGUACCGGAAGGUGCGGCUGGAUCACCUCCUUUCUAAGGAG
rnacentral:rRNA from 1 species